rnacentral:lncRNA from 1 species
CCACGGAUCCCACCUAAAUAGUGCAUGGGUUCCACGUGGAUCCUACCUAAAUAAUGCGUGGGUCCCAUGUGGGCCAAGGAUGGAUGAGCAGGCUCCGAACCUAGGAGUUCUAGUAUGUGUAUAUAGAUUUGCAUGAAGCUUGAAGGGACAAUUGGAAAGGAUCUUUCACCAUUUCUCUUCUCGGCAGAUAAGAAAAGUUCAACAAAACCUAAAGUUCGCAUGGUCUUAAAAUAUGGUUCCUUUUUUCUGAAUCAAUCUGGCUGAUAACAAUGUGGCCCUAAGCUAGUUGAUGAAAAGCAAAAAUGGGUGAAGAAAGUUGGAAACGCCAUGGAUCUUUCGUAGGCAAUCAUGGAUGGCGCCGCGCUGAUUGCUGAUGCACGCGAUCAAACAUUCAACAGAGGACACCCCCUGGCUCCCAUGUGACAGCCGCCUGAUGACCACCUGCUAAACUAAUCCCAGAUCGUCGUCUUCCCCAAUCGAUUUCCUUGUAGUGACGCAGAGAUGCAUGGGCAGACGCAUGGUCACAUGCACACCAGUGUGGCACAGGUACUUGCAAUGCAACUCCAUCAUGGCAAAAGCUAGUAGCCAGUAGCCAUUGACAUGGCUGGUAGCUCUGCGUGCACUUUGCUACUAGCUUCCUAGCAAGUUCUGUUUUGGCCUGGUUCUAGUUGUCAUCUCUCAUCUAAAGACAAAAUAAGGAGGAGGUACACAUAGAUGUUAGCUAAUUGAUUUCAACACAAGUUAUUUUUAACAGAUGAACGACAUGUUUCCCGUUACUAGUCUCGAAUACUGUAGCUGGACUUACAUUAUGCAAGAUGUCUUCGUAUAUGUCGGGAUCGACAAUUCGGAACUGUGCAGUGAAUCACUGUGCAAAUACAUGCAUGCUUCUUGUUCCUGUUUGGUUCACUGUAUCUGUAUAGAGUUCAUUGUGCUGUCGAAGGCAGCAACAGAUUUGAGGUUAGAACAGAGGGUCGACAGAGGAGGGAUCCAAUGAACCUGCAAAUAUAAUAUUAUAUUGGAUCAGGAUCAGUGUAAAGAGUUAACUGAAAAUGCAUCAACUCAAAGCUGCAGAUGUUAGAACUUGAGAUAUCCUCACUCCUGGUUAAGAUGCCCAAUAACUGGCAAUGCAAGAUGGUGCCAGUUUGUGGGGAUAAAAUAUGUUGUCCAACAGUUAGCUUGCUCAAUGCAUGAAUCCACCACUUGCCUUAAACAAAAGACAGGUAUAGAACAAUUGCACGAAGAUGAAGUGCCUACGAAAAGAAUGCUGAAAGAU